UGGAGCAAAAGCAACCAUUAAUGUAUGGGAACCAAAGAUACAACAAUCUAAUGAGUUCAGUUUAUCUCAGCUAUGGAUAUUAGGAGGUUCCUUUGGUGAAGAUCUCAAUAGCAUUGAAGCUGGCUGGCAGGUACUAUUAGUUAAUUUAAUUCUUUAAUUGAACUAAUAAUUGAAGUAAUUAAUAACAUCAAUAUCAUUUUUUAUGCCAUAUUCCUUAUUUUUAAUGCUUUCUGUAUGAUGAAACAGGUCAGUCCAGAUUUAUAUGGUGACAACAACACAAGGCUUUUCACCUAUUGGACUGUAAGCUUUCAACUUUUUUACAUACAAUCGCUUCAACAACACUAAUGAUUUUCUUUUUGUUAAUGGAUUUUUUAAAACAUUUGUUUUUUGAAAAUAUUACAGAGUGAUGCUUAUCAAGCCACAGGUUGCUAUAAUCUUCUAUGUUCAGGCUUUAUUCAGAUUAAUAGUGAGAUAGCCAUGGGAGCAAGCAUCUCUCCUGUCUCUGCUUUCCGCAAUUCCCAAUAUGAUAUUAGUAUUCUUGUCUGGAAGGUAAAUGCCAAAGAUCUUCACUUCACAUCACAUUCAAUGGUAAAAAAAUUUCAGUAGCAGCCAAAUGGAAAAAUAGAGCUAGCUGAUAGCUGAUACUGUUAAAGUUGUAUGUGAACUUUGAUGGGUUUUUGUCCUUUUCAUUAGACCUUGAAAUCUUUACAUGAUAAAGAAAAUUGCAUUCUUGGCCGUAUCAGCUAAAUGUAACUCUCAUGCUGUGUCAAGAAAUAUCAUUGUGUGUGGUUCAUAUGCUAAGAAGAAUCUUUAAGAUCAUCUUUAGACACUUGCAAAACUGGUUAAAACAGAAAAUGUAAAAUCAGUGAACUGGGAAUCCUAUCCUGUGAAAAAAAAAAAAAAAAAAAAGAAACAGAAAAAUUAGAAUAUAACUGUAGUUACAGUUUUUUGUACUGUCUUGCUCAAUAAUGGAGCUUUGUCUAGUUUUGCAUCCAAGUACUGUUACUUGUUAAUGUACCUUAAUUUCUUUGUUUCAUGUUUGGCAAUUCUUGUAGGAUCCUAAAGAAGGACAUUGGUGGAUGCAAUUUGGCAAUGACUAUGUGUUGGGAUAUUGGCCUUCUUUUCUGUUCUCAUACUUAGCAGACAGCGCUUCCAUGAUUGAAUGGGGAGGUGAGGUAGUGAAUUCAGAACCAGAUGGUCAGCACACCUCAACUCAGAUGGGAAGUGGACAUUUUCCUGAAGAAGGGUUUGGGAAAGCAAGUUAUUUUAGGAAUAUUCAAGUAGUUGAUGAUUCCAAUAAUCUAAAGGCACCAAAAGGAAUUGGAACCUUCACUGAACAAUCUAAUUGCUAUGAUGUUCAAACUGGUAGUAAUGGAGAUUGGGGUCAUUACUUUUAUUAUGGAGGCCCUGGUAAAAACUCCAAUUGCCCAUGAAGAAGAAGAAGAAGAAGAAAAAACCCAUUUUCACUUCUCACAUAUAUUAAUCUCUCUCUCUCUCCCUGUGUAUCAUUCAAACUAGUAAUGCCUCUCUCUCUCUCUCUCUCUCUCUCUUGUAUACCCUUUUUUUACUGUUAGGCUUGGGUUAGUGAUGUGACCUCUUUAGUUGGAAGUUUUGACUCUUUUUUUUUUUUUUUUACUAAAAGAUUCUCCAAUGUAAGUGGUUGGGAUGUGGCCAAGUUUCUCAAAGCUAAAGAAACAGGCUUUUGUUUA
rnacentral:lncRNA from 1 species